GGUGAGUAACGCGUGGGUAACCUGCCUCAUACAGGGGGAGUAACAAUUAGAAAUGACUGCUAAUAACCGCAUAAGCGCACAGUGCUGCAUGGCACAGUGUGAAAAACUCCGGUGGUAUGAGAUGGACCCGCGUCUGAUUAGCUAGUUGGUGGGGUAACGGCCUACCAAGGCGACGAUCAGUAGCCGGCCUGAGAGGGUGAACGGCCACAUUGGGACUGAGACACGGCCCAAACUCCUACGGGAGGCAGCAUG
rnacentral:rRNA from 1 species